GUGCCUUAAACUAAUGAGUAAGGAAAAUAUUGAGCCCUGGUAACGCUUGGCUCGGCUAUAAUAUAAUUAAUAGCUUUGAAUUUUUGAAGGGGUCGAGGUCGUCCUCUGGAGUGUCUGCCUACUUUAGCAGAUAUUCGAGUGAAGCGAUUUACCCC
rnacentral:snRNA from 16 species